rnacentral:rRNA from 1 species
AACUUUUCAUAACUUAGUGGCGGACGGGUGAGUAACUUUUGGGUAACCUGCCUUGUACUGGGGGACAACAGUUGGAAACGACUGCUAAUACCGCAUAAGCGCACAGAGUCGCAUGACUCAGUGUGAAAAACUCCGGUGGUACAAGAUGGACCCGCGUCUGAUUAGCUAGUUGGUGAGGUAACGGCCCACCAAGGCGACGAUCAGUAGCCGGCCUGAGAGGGUGAACGGCCACAUUGGGACUGAGACACGGCCCAAACUCCUACGGGAGGCAGCAGUGGGGAAUAUUGCACAAUGGGGGAAACCCUGAUGCAGCGACGCCGCGUGAGUGAAGAAGUAUUUCGGUAUGUAAAGUUCUAUCAGCAGGGAAGAAAAUGACGGUACCCUGACUAAGAAGCCCCCGGCUAACUACGUGCCAGCAGCCGCGGUAAUACGUAGGGGGCAAGCGUUAUCCGGAUUUACUGGGUGUAAAGGGAGCGUAGACGGCAUGGCAAGUCUGAAGUGAAAGCUCGGGGCUCAACCCCGGAACUGCUUUGGAAACUGUCAAGCUAGAGUGUCGGAGAGGUAAGUGGAAUUCCUAGUGUAGCGGUGAAAUGCGUAGAUAUUAGGAGGAACACCAGUGGCGAAGGCGGCUUACUGGACGAUAACUGACGUUGAGGCUCGAAAGCGUGGGGAGCAAACAGGAUUAGAUACCCUGGUAGUCCGCACCGUAAACGAUGAAUGCUCGUCAUUGGCGAUAUACAGUCAGUGACCAAGCGAAAGCAUUAAGCAUUCCACCUGGGGAGUACGCCGGCAACGGUGAAACUCAAAGGAAUUGACGGGGGCCCGCACAAGCGGAGGAACAUGUGGUUUAAUUCGAUGAUACGCGAGGAACCUUACCCGGGCUUGAAUUGCUGGUGACGAACCAAGAGAUUGGUUUUUCUUCGGACACCAGUGAAGGUGCUGCAUGGUUGUCGUCAGCUCGUGCCGUGAGGUGUCGGCUUAAGUGCCAUAACGAGCGCAACCCUUGCUGUCAGUUGCCAUCAGGUAGAGCUGGGCACUCUGGCGGGACUGCCAUCACAAGAUGUGAGGAAGGUGGGGAUGACGUCAAAUCAGCACGGCCCUUACGUCCGGGGCUACACACGUGUUACAAUGGGGGGUACAGAAGGCAGCUUGCCGGCGACGGUUGGCCAAUCCGUAAAUCCCUUCUCAGUUCGGACUGGAGUCUGCAACCCGACUCCACGAAGCUGGAUUCGCUAGUAAUCGCGCAUCAGCCAUGGCGCGGUGAAUACGUUCCCGGGCCU